UACGUAGGGGCCAAGCGUUGUCCGGAUUUAUUGGGCGUAAAGAGCUCGUAGGCGGUUGAGUAAGUCGGGUGUGAAAACUCCAGGCUCAACUUGGAGAUGCCACCCGAUACUGCUCUGACUUGAGUUCGGUAGGGGAGUGGGGAAUUCCUGGUGUAGCGGUGAAAUGCGCAGAUAUCAGGAGGAACACCGGUGGCGAAGGCGCCACUCUGGGCCGAAACUGACGCUGAGGAGCGAAAGCGUGGGUAGCAAACAGG
rnacentral:rRNA from 1 species